rnacentral:rRNA from 1 species
UACAGAGACUGCAAGCGUUACUCGGAUUCACUGGGCGUAAAGGGAGCGCAGGCGGACUCGUGUGUCGGACGUGAAAUACCGGGCUUAACCCCGGUGCUGCGUUCGAAACUACGAGUCUAGAGACUUGGAGGGGUAAGCGGAAUUCGUUGGUGGAGCAGUGAAAUGCGUAGAUAAUCAAGAGGAACACCAACGGCGAAGGCAGCUUACUGGACAAGAUCUGACGCUCAGGCUCGAAAGCGUGGGGAGCAAAAGGG